GUUGUCCUACGGGACGCAGCAGUGGGGAAUAUUGCACAAUGGGGGAAACCCUGAUGCAGCGACGCCGCGUGAGUGAAGAAGUAAUUCGUUACGUAAAGCUCUAUCAGCAGGGAAGAGAAUGACGGUACCUGAGUAAGAAGCCCCGGCUAACUACGUGCCAGCAGCCGCGGUAAUACGUAGGGGGCAAGCGUUAUCCGGAUUUACUGGGUGUAGAGGGAGCUUAGACGGCAUAGAAAGUCUGAAGUGAAAGCCCGCGGCUCAACCGCGGAACUGCUU
rnacentral:rRNA from 1 species